GUCGUAACAGGUUUCCGUAGGUGAACCUGCGGAAGGAUCAUUA
rnacentral:rRNA from 2 species